rnacentral:rRNA from 1 species
AUGCGGCGGCUCAAGCGGCUGGGGGCGGCGCGGCGGCUCGAUGUAGAUCGGCGGCGGCAGUUGGAGCUUGCAGGGGGCGGAUCCGUGCGCAGCAGGAGCUGGGGAGGUGGAUCCGGAGGCCGGCGGCGAGGUGGGGUCACCAGGGACGACCAGGAUGGCCGGAGCACGGAUUCCCUGGCGGAUCCAUGGAGUCUGCGGCUCCUGGGCAGGAAGGAAGGGAAGUGGGGGAGAGAAGGAGGGAGUAAGGAGGGGCGGCACAGCGACCUAGGCAGGAGCUUGCCGGAGCCGGACGCUGGUGGACGGGCGGGCGGCGCGAAGUCCUGGCGCACCUCGGCCGUCAUCGAGGCCACCACCGCCGCCUGCCGGUGCAACAAGGCAAAGGAGGAUCUCCUGGUUUUGCUCCGUCGCCAACUCCAUGUUCACGGUCGUGGUUCUAAUCCCUCUCUUGCCACUCCACUAUUUUCAGGGGACCUUCCACUGUUUUGA